AUGGGUGCGAGCCCAUACAGACCGCUAGGUCGUCGGUUCGAAUGAACCGCCCCUGCGGAGCGAAGCAGCGCAAGCUGCGACAGCGUGAGCAAGAACAGUUCAACUUUCUAGUUAUCGUAAUAAGGUAUCUACACCUGAAUACAUAGGGUGUUAGAAGCGAACCUGGGGAACUGAAACAUCUAAGUACCCAGAGGAAAGGACAUCAAACGAGACUCCGCUAGUAGUGGCGAGCGAACGCGGACCAGGCCAGUGGCUUAAUUGAGUAAAGUGGAACAACUUGGAAAAGUUGGCUAAAGUGGGUGAUAGCCCCGUACACGCAACACGAAAUUAAGUCCUUGAGUAGGGCGGGACACGUGAAAUCCUGUCUGAACAUGGGUCGACCACGAUCCAAGCCUAAGUACUCGUGCAUGACCGAUAGCGAACCAGUACCGUGAGGGAAAGGUGAAAAGCACCCCGACGAGGGGAGUGAAAUAGUACCUGAAACCGAAUGCCUACAAACAGUUGGAGCCCAAGGUUCGUCCUGGGUGACAGCGUACCUUUUGUAUAAUGGGUCAGCGACUUAGUCUGACGAGCAAGCUUAAGCCGGUAGGUGUAGGCGCAGCGAAAGCGAGUCUGAACAGGGCGUUCAGUUCGUCGGAUUAGACCCGAAACCAAGUGAUCUAGCCAUGAGCAGGUUGAAGGUACGGUAACACGUACUGGAGGACCGAACCCAUAUCUGUUGCAAUAGAUCGGGAUGACUUGUGGCUAGGGGUGAAAGGCCAAUCAAACUUGGAGAUAGCUGGUUCUCCGCGAAAUCUAUUUAGGUAGAGCGUCCAGCGAAUACCCCCGGGGGGUAGAGCACUGAAUGGGCUAUGGGGACUCACCGUCUUACUGAUCCUAAUCAAACUCCGAAUACCGGGGAGUACUACUGGGCAGACACACGGCGGGUGCUAACGUCCGUCGU
rnacentral:rRNA from 1 species